UACGAAGGGGGCUAGCGUUGCUCGGAAUCACUGGGCGUAAAGCGCACGUAGGCGGCUUGUUAAGUCAGGGGUGAAAUCCUGGAGCUCAACUCCCGAACUGCCUUUGAUACUGGCGAGCUUGAGUCCGGGAGAGGUGAGUGGAACUGCGAGUGUAGAGGUGAAAUUCGUAGAUAUUCGCAAGAACACCAGUGGCGAAGGCGGCUCACUGGCCCGGUACUGACGCUGAGGUGCGAAAGCGUGGGGAGCAAACAGG
rnacentral:rRNA from 1 species